rnacentral:rRNA from 1 species
AUGUCAGACUCGCGUGUUAGGGUCGUCAGUCGGAGCCUCGUCAAGGCGGCCGGCGCCGUCACGCCGCGCAUCCUCGCCGUGUCCAACCUCGACCUGCUCCCUCGGCCCAUACCGUCCUUGCUCUUCUGCGCCUACCGCGAGCCCUCCACCGGCUGCUUCCGCGAUGUCGUCGCCAUCUUCAAUGCCAGGCUACCGUCCCUGCUCGAGCACUUCUCCCCCCUCGCCGGUCGCCUCAUGUCCAGCCCGCGCUCCGGGGUUCCGGAGGUGGACUGCGACAACCAGGGCGCGGAGCUUGUCGUCGGUGAGGUCGGCGUGGGACUGGCGAGCCUGGACUACGGCGCGCUAGGCGCGUCGCUGGCGAGGAUCGGCGCGCUCGUCCAGUACGGCGCCGACGUCGUGCUUUCGGUGCAGCUCGUGUCCUUCGCCUGCGGCGGGUUCACCGUUGCGUGGUGCUCCAACCACGUGGUCAUGGACGGGUACGGGCUGUGCAUGCUCGCCAGCAUGUGGUCCGAGCUCGCGCGGUCCGGGACGAUCGACACCACCCGCAGCAGCGGGGCACCCAACUUCGACCGCGCCGUGUUGCCGCGCCCCCGCGCCGCGCCGUCCUACAGCCCCUCGCUCAGCGAGGCGUUCACGCCGUUCGAAGACAAACAUCUGGUUAACUCCCUCACGGCCGGGAGCUACUGCGUCACGCGCCUGUACUACAUCGAGGAGCGUGACAUCGCCAUGCUGCGCGCGCGGGCGAGCAGGGAGGCUGUCGGCGAGCGACGCGCGACCCGCCUCGAGGCGGUGUCGGCGUACCUGUGGAAGGCCUUGGCCGCCGUCGUGGCCGCGUCCGGCUCCGACGAGACCUGCCGCAUGGGCUGGUGGGUGGACGGGCGGCGGAGGCUGAGCGUGCCGGGAAAGGAGGCCGCGAUGCGCAACUACGUCGGCAACGUCGGGACGUUCGCGCUCGCGGAAGCAACCGUGGAGGAGGUCCAGCGGCGGCCGCUCCCGGAUGUCGCGUCGAUGGUGCGGGAGGCGAUCGCCGCGAGGGCCACCGAGGAGCAUUUCCAGGAGCUGGUAGACUGGGUGGAGGAGCACAAGGGCGGCAGGUUCGUGGAGACGGCGACCGUCGGGCUGGGCAGCCCGGCGUUAGCCGUGACGUCAUUCGCGUCGUUCCGUCUUCGGACGGACUUCGGAUUCGGGCACGCCGCCCUGGCGAUGCCGAUGAUGCUCGCCGGGACCGGGAGGCUGUGCGCCGGCUUCGUGAAGAUCGUCCCGCGCCCCGGAGGCGACGGCUCGUGGGUCGUCAGCAUGGUGGUGUGGCCGAGGCUCGCCGCCGCGCUCGACUCUGACGAGCAGCGCAUCCUGAGGCCGGUCACCGCCGAGUACCUCGGCCUCAAGGCAGAAAACCCGUGUAGCCGGCUAUGA